AGAGAAGAGAAAUAAAAACAACAGAGAGACCUAAAGAAAGUCCUGACUAUGUGCUGCUGCUCCGGAGUGUGCGAGGCAUCACUUGUGGGCUGCCUCCAGUCUCCCACACAGUCAGCCAGGCAGAGGUUACCAUGGGUUGCUGAGGUUGCUCCUGGUCAGUCUCUGCUGGGCCGGUGGAUGAAGCUAAAGUCGAUGACAAGAGACAACAUUAAGUGGAGCAGUGGUCCCUGCGUCUCCAGCCUCCAGACGAUGACCUCUCCAUCAUGGCUCGCUGUGGCAACGACCCCCAGAGCAUAACACUGACACACAACCAGGAUGUCCGACUUAUGGACGCCGCUGGACUUCCACGACA